rnacentral:lncRNA from 1 species
CUUACUUUUUUGCUGUUUUUUGACUACUUAUAAAAAAUGGAAAAAGUCGCUAAAAAUGGAUGAAAAGUUAAGGCUGUUUUGCUGUUUUUUGACCACUUAUAUAAAAAAUGGAAAAAGUCGCUAAAAAUGGAUGAAGAGGUAAGGCUAUAGCCUUACUUUUUUGGUGUUUUUUUGGCCACUUAUGAAAAAUGGAAAAAGUCGCUAAAAAUCGACGAAAAGUUAAGCCUAUAGCCUUACUUUUUCCCUGUAUUUUGGCCACUUAUGAAAAAAAGUCGCUAAAAAUGGAUCAAAAGUUAAGCCUAUAGCCUUACUUUUUUGUUGUUUUUUGGCCACUUACGAAAAAUGGGAAAAGUCGCUAAAAAUGGACGAAAAGUUAAGCCUAUAGCCUUACUUUUUUGCUGUUUUUUGGCCACAUAUGAAAAAUGGAAAAAGUCGCUAAAAAUGGACGAAAAGUUAAGGCUGUUUCGUUUUUUUUUGACUACUUAUAAAAAAUGGAAAAAGUCGCUAAAAAUGGAUGAAAAGUUAAGGCUGUUUUGCUGUUUUUUGACCACUUAUAAAAAAUGGAAAAAGUCGCUAAAAAUGGAUGAAGAGUUAAGUAGCGCUAUAGCCUUACUUUUUUGGUGUUUUUUGGCCACUUAUGAAAAAUGAAAAAGUCGCUAAAAAUGGACGAAAAGUUAAGCCUAUAGCCUUACUUUUUUGCUGUUUUUUUGGCCACUUAUGAAAAAUGGAAAAAGUCGCUAAAAAUGGAUGAAAAGUUAAGCCUAUAGCCUUACUUUUUUGCUGUUUUUUGGCCACUUAUGAAAAAAGUCGCUCAAAAUGGAUGAAAAGUUAAGCCUAUAGGCUUACUUUUUUCCUGUUUUUUGGCCACUUAUGAAAAAUGGAAAAAGUCGCUAAAAAUGGAUGAAAAGUUAAGCCUAUAGCCUUACUUUUUUGCUGUUUUUUUGGCCACUUAUGAAAAAUGGAAAAAGUCGCUAAAAAUGGACGAAAAGUUAAGCCUAUAGCCUUACUUUUUUCCUGUUUUUUUGGCCACUUAUGAAAAAUGGAAAAAGUCGCUAAAAAUGGAUGAAAAGUUAAGCCUAUAGCCUUACUUUUUUGCUGUUUUUUGGCCACUUACGAAAAAUGGGAAAAGUCGCUAAAAAUGGACGAAAAGUUAAGAUGGAAAAAGUCGCUAAAAAUGGAUGAAAAGUUAAGCCUAUAGGCUUACUUUUUUGCUGUUUUUUGGUCACUUAUGUAAAAUGGAAAAAGUCGCUAAAAAUGGACGAAAAGUUAAGCCUAUAGCCUUACUUUUUUGCUGUUUUUUGGUCACUUAUGUUUUGCCACUUACGAAAAAUGGAAAAAGUCGCUAAAAAUGGACGAAAAGUUAAGCCUAUAGGCUUACUUUUUUGCUGUUUUUUGGCCACUUAUGAAAAAUGGAAAAAGUCGCCAAAAAUGGACGAAAAGUUAAGGCUCUUUUGCUGUUUUUUGACUACUUAUAAAAAAUGGAAAAAGUCGCUAAAAAUGGAUGAAAAGUUAAGCGUAUAGCCUUACUUUUUUGUUGUAUUUUGGCCACUUAUGAAAAAAGUCGCUAAAUAUGGAUGAAAAGUUAAGCCUAUAGCCUUACUUUUUUGCUGUUUUUUGGCCACUUACGAAAAAUGGAAAAAGUCGCUAAAAAUGGACGAAAAGUUAAGCUAUAGCCUUCUUUUUUGUUGUUUUUUGGCCACUUAUGAAAAAUGGAAAAAGUCGCUAAAAAUGGAUGAAAAGUUAAGCCUAUAGCCUUACUUUUUUGCUGUUUUUUGGCCAC